UCUGCCUUUAUAUUGUGCAUUAGCAGUGGCGGAAGGAGAAGAACCAAAUGAGAAGCUGGUGUUUGGUAAACAAUUGGUGUGGUUUCCCCUCGUGCUGCGCAGUGUUUUAAAGGAGAACCAUUUGCUGUUGCUAAACAGUGCACAAACAUGCAUUUUUUUUAGAUCUGCUGGUGACUGGAGCUCUGCUGCAUAGUGAGUUGCCUAACGCAUAGUGGGGAAAUCACCUUUCAGACCCAACGCAGAUAGCAUACGCUGAUGAGAUAGCCGCGUGCUUGUGACGGGAUCUGCGCUGGUUAGUUGUGUUACGCCUGCAGCCCUGAGUUGCACAAAGGGGAUUGCUCAGGCAGUUUUAUUUCCUCCUCUAAGAUGCUUGGGGUGACACCCUCUCUUUCGCCAUGUCUUGGGGUAGCUCAAGGCAUGAGGAGAGUCCCAUGCAAUAGGUGGGAGAAGGACCAAGAGGUCUGACUGGCCACUGGGGAGCAGGAGGAUUUAGGAGGUGCAUUGAAUGGCGAGUCUACAAAAAUUGUAUGUGCUCAACACUUUCCAUGAUUUUGACUUGCUAACAGUGACUUGACCAAGGGGGUCCUCCUGCAGCACUGCCCAGGGUGCCCGGCACUGCCUCCCGUGUGUGUCCAGCCGUGCCACAGCGGGCCCCCGGAGCAUCGCGGCUCUCCCAUGGCAACAGCACGUGUGCAGUGCGAUGCAGGCAGGUUGCAGCUGCUUCCCUGUGUGCGCAGGCAGGAAAGGAUUUUUCUGAGGUCCAGGACAUGUGAGGAGACCUUCUUCCAAAGCUGGCCUUCCCUGGCCAGCCAAAUAAAUACAGCCAGCCAGCCACAAAUGGCCACGUUCACAAACGUCUCCUCCCUUGUUGGCAGAGCAUCUGCAAACAGAUCCGCAAUUAUCUUGGACUUGGUCGAUGGAAAGUCGCUCAGUGGAAGUUUAUUCACAAGCUGCACUUUCUCCUGUGUUUGGAAGUCAAAUGACCAACUUGCAGCUUUGCUGCGGUUAAUGAUGCGGCUUUGGUCCCCAGCCUGAAGGAAUGCCACUUGUCUCUUUUAGCUGGAGAUGGGGAGGAGAGAAGCUAAAUCUAACACUGGAGAGUCAUAUUCCCAUGUGAUGAGUUUCAGCUGCUACUGAAACCCGGUGGCAUGAAUGUGAACGCAAAGAGGAAGGCUUCUGCAUCCACGUGCAGGUCUCUGGGCUGUGCAAGUCUCCACUGUGGGACCUUGACCCCGGAUGGCAGCUUUGCUGAGCCCACCAGCUCCUGGGUAUCUGUGGUGCAGGCAUGAGGAUGCUCCCAAGCCAAGCUCAACAAGAGAGCGUGCAGAACAGCAGAGGGGCUGAGCUGGAUCAACCACAGCUUCGCUCCUUUUCAAACCCCCAUGAAACUUCACCGAGCAGCAACUACUGCUGAUCCUUCAGCUCCUUCUCAAGAUCAUCUCCUGACACAGAAAUGGCUUGUUGCCACAUGCAGCCAGCAUGAAUGCCAGCUUCCACCAGCAGCUGUUUUGGAUAUCGAAGCAUCUGAGGACACCUUUCCAUCUUGGAAAAGCACUGCCAUCACCAGCAUCACACCAGGGCUGCCAUGGAGCUGGGAAAAGCUCUUCCAGGCAGCAAAGCAGGAGUGGAAGCUCACCAAAAGUAUCUUCAGGCAGAAGUGGGGAAGGGCUACGAGGUGAUGAACCCCCAUGGCCCCUUGGGCUUGGCUGGCAGGUGGAGGUAG